AUCAUCUCUCUGAACAGACACUGCACUUCUCUUGAGCUGUUGCUGGUUGUCAGAAGGACAAAAACUGCAGCAGAAUGGGGAGAGUGUCCUGGUCUCUAAAAGCAGCAAACAAGAAACAGAAAGUGGAGAAAGCAGAAAGUAAAUCUCUUAUUACAAUUGAGAAGAAUGAGCCCAAUCUCCGUAAUAAAUUUCUAAUAGUGGUUUACAAUUACUUGUUAUAAAAAAGUAGUGGAAUUAACUGAGCUUAAAUUUUGAAUGACAGCUCAAUAAGGAUGAUUUGGUUUUAGACAACUUCAGUGAAAAUAUAUAUAUUUUUUUCUGAAAAUAAGUAUUAUAUUUUAUUUGUAUUAAAAACUAUGAAGGUUUAAAAAUAUGGUUUAAACAUCUUCAGGAAAAUUAUUCCAUAUAAGAGUGGAUCAUUUAUCUUAAAACUGCUAGUCACACCUUUUCAUUGUAUCAUUGUUAAAUUCUUCAAAAAUUUAAUUGGUAUUAACUACAUUCUCUACUACAAAUCCAAAUUGGACUUUAAUAAUAAUAAUGAGCCUAUGGGACUGCUCAUGGUAGAUCCUCUUUGCUAUUAAGGAUCAUUUUAGGGAAGGGAUCUGGUAAGACUGACACAGAAAGAGAGGUGGAGGAACUGCAAGUAUUUGGAUUUCAGAUUAGCACUCAAAGUAAGAACCCAGAGAGUGGAUCUCAUCCAAAAGCAAGUUGGUCCAAAUUAUGACUGAAGAGAAGGAAAUAUACAGGGAAAGAAAGACUUGUGGCUGCAGAAGUAUUUGAAAUUCCAGUAUUGGGGUCUCUUAGACAGAAUGUUCAGCCAAAAUGUAAAUAUGCGUCUUAAAGGGAAAAGGUUGGUUUGCACAUACAAAUGUAGUGAUUGCUCAGAGACUGAGUUGAAACCAAGUAUUUAGUACUUGUCUGACAAAGAGGUUGUCAACACUGUGACUAGUUAGGCUAAUUAGCUGCAGUAGUAUUAAGAAAAGAUCCUGUAGAAAUUUAAAAUGCCUCCCUUGAUGAAAGUUUUUAUUUGAAUUCAGUAAAUAGGGCAAACUUUGAUUUAGUAACAUAAUAAAUAACUUCAUUACAUGAGGAGUGUUUGCACUUACUAGGCAGAUGUACCAAUGGAAAAAAAAAAAAAGAAAUUAAAUACUUUGUCAUAACAUGUAUAUAAUAAAAUUGGAUUAAACUG
ensembl:lncRNA